CCCUGAGACAGGGCUGCCAACAUCACAGCCACUCCCCGCAAAAGUCAGCAGCCUCCUUUGCACCCCCAGAGUGACGCAAACGUCUCGGGGGGGAUACCCCCCAAACAAAGGCCAAGGGUACCAGGGAGAGUCUGUGACAGUGGGAGGAUAGCUGUGGAUUCUGGAUGUAGGGCUGGGGUGAGAGCAGGGAGCUCCCCCUCACCACUUGCCCUCCCAGGUGUUUCACUUACUAGGGCCUUGCAGGGGUUUUGUUCCUCCUAAGAAUCUGUUAAGAUUGGAUUGCUCUCCUGCUUGAUGGGUCCCUACUGAGCCAAGCUGGGGACCUGGCUUUGAAGAAUCCUGCAGACUGUGCACAAAGGUGAGAGGCUCUUGGGCAUUCUGUUGCUUCGACUGAGGUGGCGGCGGCAUCUGUGACUCUUCGAGGAGCUGUGGUUGCGCUGGUGGUGGCCUGAGUGACAGCUGCUGCUCCUGUCGCAAAUCCCGUGGACGCUGGGUUUUUCUCUCAGAUUGCAGUUCCUCCUCUUGGAGUUUCCCCAGUUCCUGACAAGAAGCCCCUGGCAAGUGGCAUCCUUCUCCCUCCCCUCCCAGUCACCCAUCAGCCAGAGACUCUGCAGGGAGCAAGGCAAGCAAUCACUGGAGAUGCAGAGGUGGCUGAGGGUCUCUGUUCCCUGGAGUUGGAGGCUGGGCUCUCUCCCUUCACCCUCCAUGAAACCCGAGAACUGUUUCAUGUGACAGUACCUCCUAGCACAGCCCCAGCCCUGGAAAUGGCAGACUCUGAGCACCUACCUCCUACCUUGAUAGCUGUGCACUGAAUACAGUUUGCACUGCUGGAGAAUAAAGAAUACUUUCCUGCAAACACUCUGAAACGGGGGGCAGGGGGGGUGGUCCGGGGUGGGUCAAUCGGUUAAGUCUCUGCCUGCCUUCAGCUCAGGUCAUGAUCUCAGGGUCCUGGGAUCAAGCCCUGCAUAGGGCCCUCUGCUCUUCAGGGACCCUGCUUCUCCCUCUGCCCUUCCCCUCGCUCCUGCUCUCUCUCUCUCUCUUUCAAAUGAAUAAAUAAACCUUAAAAAAAAAAAAAAA
rnacentral:lncRNA from 1 species